rnacentral:lncRNA from 1 species
UGGUGGAAUGAGAUGGACAUCAUUGGGGCUGGGAAUAUAACUCAAUUGGUAGUGAGCUUUCCUCAUAUGCACAAGGCCCUGAGUUCAAUCCCCAGCGCCAUAAAAAAAGAAAGAAAGAAAGAAAAGAGAUGGACAUGAUUACCCUAGGUACAUGUAUGAGGACACAAAUUGUGUGACUCUGUACAACCAGAGAAAUGAAAAAUGGUGCUUCAUUUGUAUACUAUGAACUGAAAUGCAUUCUGUUCUCAUGUAUAACAAAUGAGAAUAAGAAAAUAAAUAAAUAAAUAAUUUAAACACUUAUAAAAAUUGUGUCUAAAAGUAACCCUAAAGUGUCAUUUUAAUCAGAGCUCUUUUCUUCAUCCACUUUGGCUUCAGACAGAAUUUCUUCUAAGCAAAACUGAAGAUAAUUUUUUAAACUAACUUUCUUUCAGAGAAGGGAAAUCAAUUUUCAGAUUUGCUUAAAUGUUUCCAGAGUGGAAAUGGUGUUGGUCUAUAAUCAGGGUGAGUUUUCUAAUUUGAGAAAUUGAAUUUCCUGUUUAGUUCUUCCAGACCAUGCUAUAAAAUCCAUUAUAACUCUACUCUAGAAGUCCCCACAUUGUUUUGGAGGCAUAACAGUUGUGAUGAGGGAAAAAUACCAAGCCUUUUCCCUGUUGUGAACAGCAUGAGGAGAUUGUAGAUGUUCUGUUUUCUGAAAAUGAGAGCUUGCAGUUUUUUUAAUAUUUAUUUUUUUGUAGUUGUACACAAUAACUUUUAUUUAUUUUUAUGUGGCGCUGAGGUUCAAACCCAGGGCCUUGCACAUGCAAGGCAAGUGCUCUACUGCUGAGCCAUAACCUCAGCCCGAGCUGGCAGUUUUUAAAGAGUAAAGACAGGCACAAGUUCUGAUGCAUCAAAGUGACUUUACCUCUUUAUUUCCUCUGGCUUUUUUCUAUUA